AGGCGGAGGUCGGGUUCGAACCAUGGACCUUCCGGUGAGCGAAUUCACGCUUUAACCACUGAACCAUCUCGCC
rnacentral:tRNA from 11 species